rnacentral:rRNA from 1 species
UAAUAGCGUAUACUUAAGUUGUUGCAGUUAAAAAGCUCGUAGUCGGAUGUCGGGCUUGGGCAGGCUGUCGGCUUUUGUCGGACGGCAGGCUCGGGCCUUUCUGCCUGGGGACCGCGUCACACUUCACUGUGGGGCGUCGGGACGCAGGCCGUUUACUUUGAAAAAAUUAGAGUGUUCAAAGCAGGCCUACGCUUGAAUACAUUAGCAUGGAAUAAUGAGAUACAACUGCGUGCGUCAGUGGGUGAUGCUCGGAGUGAUGAUUGAAAGGAACAGUUGUGGGUAUUCGUAUGGGAAUGUCAGAGGUGAAAUUCUUGGAUCCUUGCCAGACGAACUACUGCGAAAGCAUUUACCAAAGAUGUUUUCAUUAA